CCUAGUCACUUGAAAGGCCUUGAGCAAAGGCUUAGAUGACUAUUGGUUAGGCAUGAAUUCUUGUUACCGUGAGAUGGUAUCUGAGACUACCUUACUGGGCUAUGACUCUGACUACCUAGAUGAGAGCUGUUUUGGUCUCUGGGUGCCCCAUUUUAGGAAGACCAUUAAUAAGGGGUCCAGAGAAGGGCAAACAAGAUGGUGAAGGGCCUUUAACCCAUGUUACAUGAGGACAUGUAGAAGGAGCUGGGGAUGCUGAGCCCAGAGGAAAGAUAGGGAUGGUGGUUGCCUUCAAGAAUCUGGCCAUCAGUCACAUGGAAGGGGUGUUGAUCUUGUCUGCUUGGCUCCAGAGGGAAUGAGUGGAAGUUACAGAGAGGAGACUUAGCUCUAAAGCCAGGAAAAUUUCCUAAGAACCAGAACUAUCCCUUUGUGGAACGGGCUGCCUGGUGGCCAGUGCUAGAAGAUUGUGUUCACAAUCGUCCUUGGGAAAGCAUGGCAGCUUGGCAGGCAUCACCUUCAGCAAGAAAGGUGCCCACUGGAGCACGGGCUGAGGCCAACGGAAUCUGGCUAACCCUUCCUCCAUAAGACAACUCUUCAGCUGGCUGUCACGUCUCUCCUGAGUCUUUUUUCCAAGCUGAGCAUUCCCAUUCCUUCGACCAACUGUCAUAGGACAAGGACUCAAGACCCACAUCCUACUCAUUGCCUUCUCUGUUGAGGAUCUCUACAGCUUGCAGUAAUCGAGAGGAGAGCCUUUCACCAUGACUCCCUCUGCCUUCUCCUCUCUCACCAUCAAAGAGGCAGAGAAGGCCUCAUCUUGUGCAAGAAGUCUUUCUGAGUCCCUCAAAUGCUAAGGAAGCUGCCCUGGGCAACCUCAGAUAUUCACAAUCAGUCUGACUGAAGUCUGACAGCAACUGAUCGGAGAAGGUAAGUGAAGAGAGCAGAGGGCCAUAGAUGCACCCCAGGGAGGGCUCGAUCCCAGGCUCAGAGACAGUGAGAAGGAACCUUUCAGACCUUGUAUUCCAAACCACUCAGGAGGUUAAAUGAUCAAGGUUACAAGGCCAACUCACUUCACUCUUCUGGGCCUAGUUUUCUCAACUGUAAAAAUGAUUCCAAUGCAGAACGGGAGUCGACAGAGGGCAGGGACUGUGGGAGUGUUUUUGUCUCAGGAGUUAGCGUGGAAAGAAGACUAGCUGCUAAGUCACAGAGGCUGCAGAGCCCUCCUGGGUGCUCACUACAGCACCCAGUAAGUGUUUACUACAGGUUUGACAUUGGGCAAACGACCCAGCAGUAACAGGUUGCAUUUAUUUAUAUAAGAUUUGUAAAGCAUUUACACCUAUUCUCUCAACCUGGCUAUCAGUUUCCUUCUCUGUAAAAGAAAGGGGUUAGGCUUCUGUGGGCCCUUCCAAGUCCGGAUCUACUCCAGCGCCUGGAACAUGCUGGGUUGUAUCAGGGCUUCUUAACCAUUAUGGUAUCGGCACCUAGCAGGCAUGUCAAGAGUAAAUGUUUAUUGAUUCAUAUGCUGUUUUGGCAAUCUGAUAAAGUCUAUGGACCCCUUCUUAGAAUCACCUUUUUAAAAAUAGUUGAAGGAAAUGCUGAAUUUCAGUUGGAGACUAGUAAAAAAUAAAGAUGGGAUCUCCCCACCUUGAGAGACACCCCCACCUCCCAACCCUCACCCCUUGGACUGUAUGAUCUAUCCCUAAGGCUCCUCCCUGUUCUAAAUCUUAUGAGCCUCCAGUGGCAGGAGCAGGCACCAGAUGUUUGGUCUCAGGAAUCUUUGAAUACAUCCCUGUUGCCUCAUUAACCAAGGUUGAAUAGUGAGACAAUCAGAUUCUCCCCUCUCUAAAAAUGCAUUUUAAAAGAUAUUUAGGUUUACAUAAAUAUGA